CAAGUUAGGGAUGACCAAGGCCUACCAUAAACGUCUUCAAAUGGAGCUAUGCUAAUAUUGGAGUUGUAACUGUUGUUAUAAGUAAAUUCACAAAGGGGAGAUGCAUAUUCCAGUGGCCCAAAGUCUAGUACAUAGGCGUGCAACAUAUCCUCCAGCAUCUAGAUAAUGCGCUAAGAUUGCCCAUCAAGUUUUGGGUGAUAAACAUUACUAAAGUAGAGGUAGAGCCAAGGGCUUCUUGGAAGCUAUCCCAGAAGUGAGAGGUGAAAUGAGGGUCCCUAUCUGACACCACGAAAAUGGGAACACCAUGAGUCAGACAAUCUCCUCAAUGUGUAACCGAGCCAACUUAGUGGUUGAGUCAGUAGUCUUAAU
rnacentral:lncRNA from 1 species